rnacentral:rRNA from 1 species
GACGUAGGGCGCGAGCGUUGUCCGGAUUUAUUGGGCGUAAAGAGCUCGUAGGCGGUUCGUCGCGUCGGCUGUGAAAACCCGGAGCUCAACUCCGGGCCUGCAGUCGAUACGGGCAGGCUCGAGUUCGGUAGGGGAGACUGGAAUUCCUGGUGUAGCGGUGAAAUGCGCAGAUAUCAGGAGGAACACCGGUGGCGAAGGCGGGUCUCUGGGCCGAUACUGACGCUGAGGAGCGAAAGCGUGGGGAGCGAACAGG